rnacentral:rRNA from 1 species
CAUAGGUGGCAAGCGUUGUCCGGAUUUAUUGGGUUUAAAGGGUGCGUAGGCGGUCUUUUAAGUCAGUGCUGAAAUACUCCAGCUUAACUGGAGGGGUGGCAUUGAUACUGGAAGACUUGAGUGUAGUCGAAGUAGGCGGAAUUGACGGUGUAGCGGUGAAAUGCUUAGAUAUCGUCAAGAACACCGAUAGUGAAGACAGCUUACCAGGCUACAACUGACGCUGAGGCACGAAAGUGUGGGGAUCAAACAGGAUUAGAUACCCUGGUAGUCCACACUGUAAACGUUGAUUACUCGCUGUUGGCGAUAUACUGUCAGCGGCUUAGCGAAAGCGAUAAGUAAUCCACCUGGGGAGUACGCCGGCAACGGUG